GCCGCAGCCACCGUCGCGACUCGCCGCCGCCGGUAGCGCGCACACACCGACACCGCGAAAGUACAAAUUAUACUUAGGACCCCAGAGAUGGCAGAUAUUUUAAGAUCUUUUGGAAUGGUUCCGAUUAGGCCAAUUAUGUUUUAUCUUAUUUAUUUUAUAAGAAAUACGAGGACAUACUUAAAUGAACUUCAUUUAGUUAACUAUGUCUUCGAUGGAUUCUUUUUAGUUUAUAGUCGCGUAAAACUAGCCUCCUCUGGAUUCACUUAGCAACAUCAAAAAUAUCUAGUCUACUAUCACUCACAAAUAUAUUGACUCGCAUUCUAUUACAAUUAUUAGAUUAUAAUAAGCUGUGUUAAAAUAUUUUUGAGUUUAAAUAUGGGCCCUAUCACACUAGCGACUUGCGAGAGAGUUGAAAGCGAGGCGCGCGCGCAACUAUCUCGCCGCGAGCGUGCAACGCAUUUUCAAAGAAUUCCAGCAUCUUAGUGCGAAGCGCGAGCGGUGCACGCUCGCCUCGCUUUCAAGUCGCUCGCAAAUCGCCAGUGUGUUAGGGCCCUAUUAGUUGGAUUGAUAUUUUUGUUUUGCAACGGUAAGCAAGGAAUGGAAUGGAACGCACAAUGUCGUAAGGUGUAACGAAAUUGGCUACUUUUAUACGAUUCGCAUGAAAAAAUAUGGUAUUUUUGGAAUGUAUCGGGCCAAUUUUACCACACCUGCUCAAAAGCCGGAUGCUAUAACGGUGCAUUUAUGUGUUUGUUAAUUUUAAUAAUGAGUACAAUUUAAUUGUAAGUGGCGCACGCUCUCGGUUUUACGCUUCCCACGUAGUGAUAGUGCCGCAGAACUUCUGCUAUCUCUUGCAAUGAAAUAGGCCAUUUUGAUAAGGAAUUUUCAAGCGUUUGAAAUUUUUGCGGUCUGAGUACUUUGUUAUUGAACACAGAUAAGAACUUAACAAUUUUUUUUAAAGUCGGUCCUUGCAUGCUUAUUAAAAAUUAUGCAUCUAUUUUUUAAAUCACUGAGCGGGAUCAGAGGAAUCUAGUAAGAUGCUUUAAGUUUGAAGCAUCUUACUUGAUUUGAUUAGUUUACAAAUGGAAACUGACCGAUUUCUUUGCCAAGAGGUAUUUUAGAUAUAAAUAUUAUAUAUUUUAACGACGCGACGCCCGCUUCGACUUGACCCUGUAAUUAGAAUACUACUCUAUUUAAGUUCGAGCUGAACUGUAUGAUACCUAAAACCUAGUUUUAGUAGACAAAUAUAAGAUACAUUAAGCUCAAGUAAGCGACACUGCAGUACUGAUUGCCUAUGUAUGUCUACAUGUACUGCCCUGCUAAGCCGAGUGGCGCUAUCUCAAAAGAAAAUCCAUUGCUAAUUUAUACUUUAGUUUCUAUAACUGAGAAUUCCAUUUUCAAAAUCAUCUCUUAUUGAGAUAGCGCUUUUCGGCUUAGCAGGGCAGUGUAUACGGUAUGUAGGUUCACUGAAGGGAACAAACUGACGUCUAACCAAAUCACUUUUAUUUUAUUAGGUAUAUAUUAUAUUACUAUUUUAAUUAUUAGAUAGACAUAUACUGAUAUUGUGAAUGAAUAAAUGUAGAGAGUUUG